rnacentral:lncRNA from 1 species
GAAACACUGGGCCACCUGCAGCGGAGCACACGAACCUAACCACUUGGCCACGGGGCCAGCCCCCUGAUUUACAUUUUAACAGCAUCACUCUUAUUGCUGGGUUGAGAAGAGAUUUUAGGUUUACAAGGGCAGAAACCAGGAGACCAGGUAGGAGAUUAUCACAACAACCCAGAUAUUCUGUUUCUCUUGGACCACUUGCUCUGGGGGAAGCCAUCAGCCACGCUGUGAGGCAACUCAGUGGAGACAUCCAAGAAGCAAGGAAGCGAAGAAGGCCUCCAGCCAAGAGCUAGCAAGGAACUGAGGUCCUCAGUCCAACACCUGUGAGGAAUAGAGGCGCAUGUGAGUAGCUGAGAAGUGGAUACUUUUCUAAUUGUCUUCAGAUGAAACUAUGGCCCAUUGUGAACACAACCUCCUGAGAGACCUUAAAUCAGAGCCACCCAAGCUUGCCGUACCCAGAUUCCUGACUCAGAAAUUGUGAGAUAAUACAUGUUUGUUAAUUUUAGCUGCUAUGUUUGGGGGUGAUGUCUUACUCAAAGAUAGAUAACUAAUACAUCCCAGCACUUAAAAUAAUGCUCUGCAAAUACUGGUUGAAUGAAUGCAUGAAUAACAAAUAUAUGGCCAAAUGCAGAGGACAAAAGAAAGAAAAUACACAAAAUCAUUGACAGUGAUUGUCUCUGGAUAGAUUUGUAGGCCCAUGGGUGAUUAUUUUUAAGUAUUUAUCAUUCCCAUACUUUGCCCCAGCUUUUUAUUGUGAAAUAUAACACAAAGACAUAACAUUGCAUAAAUAAACAGCUUGAUGGAGUUGAUUACAAAACCAGCAUGUAUGUAACCAGGUGAAAGAAUAGAGUAUUGCCUGCAGCACGGAAUCAUGAGAUUCUUUUUAAAAAUGUUUUUUUCUUCAUAUUCCCCCCAAAAGGUAUGUAUUACUUUCUCUGUCAAUUCUUUAAAAAAAUGUUUUUAUUGGGGGCUGGCCCCGUGGCCGAGUGGUUAAGUUCGCGCACUCCGCUGCAGGCGGCCCAGUGUUUC